rnacentral:rRNA from 1 species
ACCCUUAGAUGUUCUGGGCCGCACGCGCACUACAAUGAUGAAUUCAACGAGUUUAUAACCUUGGUUGAAAAGCCUGGGUAAUCUUUUGAACUUUCGUCGUGAUGGGGCUAGACCCUUGCAAUUAUUGGUCUCCAACGAGGAAUUCCUAGUAAACGCAAGUCAUCAGCUUGCAUUGAUUACGUCCCUGCCCUUUGUACACAUUGCCCGUCGCACCUACCGAUUGAAUGGUCCGGUGAAAUCUUCGGAUUGAGACUUUGUUUUCUUCACGGAAAACGCUGUUUUAAAAAGUUGAUUAAACCUUACCAUUUAGAGGAAGGUGAAGUCGUAACA